rnacentral:rRNA from 1 species
CGAACGGCUCUUCGGAGCAGUGGCGGACGGGUGAGUAACGCGUGGGAACGUGCCCUUUGGUUCGGAACAACACAGGGAAACUUGUGCUAAUACCGGAUGAGCCCUUCGGGGGAAAGAUUUAUCGCCAUUGGAGCGGCCCGCGUUGGAUUAGGUAGUUGGUGGGGUAAAGGCCCACCAAGCCGACGAUCCAUAGCUGGUCUGAGAGGAUGAUCAGCCACACUGGGACUGAGACACGGCCCAGACUCCUACGGGAGGCAGCAGUGGGGAAUCUUGCGCAAUGGGCGAAAGCCUGACGCAGCCAUGCCGCGUGUAUGAUGAAGGUCUUAGGAUUGUAAAAUACUUUCACCGGGGAAGAUAAUGACGGUACCCGGAGAAGAAGCCCCGGCUAACUUCGUGCCAGCAGCCGCGGUAAUACGAAGGGGGCUAGCGUUGCUCGGAAUUACUGGGCGUAAAGGGCGCGUAGGCGGACAGUUUAGUCAGAGGUGAAAGCCCAGGGCUCAACCUUGGAAUUGCCUUUGAUACUGGCUGUCUUGAGUUCGGGAGAGGUGAGUGGAAUGCCGAGUGUAGAGGUGAAUUCGUAGAUAUUCGGCGGAACACCAGUGGCGAAGGCGACUCACUGGCCCGAUA